GAUGAACGCUGGCGGCGUGCCUAAGGUAUGCAAGUCGAAUGCGCCCUCGGGCGCAUGGCGCACGGCUGAGUAACACGUAGAUAACGUACCCCCACAACGGGAAUACCCCUUCGAAAGAGGGAACAAUACCCGAUAUGUCACAGAUCGUCUGGUUUGUGAUGAAAGCUCCGGCGCGUGGGGAGCGGUCUGCGGCCUAUCAGCUUGUUGGCGGGGUAAAAGCCCACCAAGGCGAUGACGGGUAGGGGGCGUGAGAGCGCGUACCCCCAGAGGGGCACUGAGAUAAGGGCCUCACUCCUACGGGAGGCAGCAAUCAGGAAUCUUGCACAAUGCGCGAAAGCGUGAUGCAGCGACGCCGCAUGCGGGAUGAAUGUCUUCGGAUUGUGGACCGACAUUAAAAAGGCCUGGCUAACUACGUGCCAGCAGCAGCGGUAAAACGUAGAGGUCGAGCGUUAUCCGGAGUUAUUGGGCGUAAAGAGUUCGUAGGCGGUUUUUUAAGUCUGUGGUUAAAUCCCUUGGCUCAACCAAGGAACUGCCAUGGAUACUGAAUAACUAGAAACACUAAGGGGAAAGCGGAACCGACGGUGGAGGGGUGAAAUCCGUUGAGAUCGUCGGGAACACCAAAGGCGAAGGCAGCUUUCUGGGGGUGUAUUGACGCUAAGGAACGAAAGCGUGGGUAGCAAAACGGAUUAGAUACCCGUGUAGUCCACGCCGUAAACGAUGCUCGCUAGAUGCGUGUCUCACCAAGAGUAGCAAGCAACAAAUUACAAGCACCAAGAUCCAAACAUUAUUGUUUGUGAUUUGUAAUUUGGAAUUUGUAUUUUUGGUGAGGUGCGCGUCGAAGCUAACGCGUUAAGCGAGCCGCCUGGGGAGUACGGCCGCAAGGCUAAAACUCAAAGGAAUUGACGGGGGACCGCACAAGCGGUGGAGCAUGUGGUUUAAUUCGAUAUUAACCGAAGAACCUCACCGAGACCUGACAUGCAAGGAUUAAUCCAGCGAAAGCUGGAGGAUUGCCCCUUGUGGGUGUAACUUGCACAGGUGUUGCAUGGCCGUCGUCAGCUCGUGUCGUGAGAUGUCGGGUUAAGUCCCUUAACGAGCGCAACCCUUACGGCUAGUUGUAUCACUCUAGCCGGACUGCCCCGGAAACGGGGAGGAAGGUGGGGACGACGUCAAGUCGGCAUGGCCCUUAUGUCUCGGGCUGCACACAUGCUACAAUGGCCGGUACAAUAGGCAGCGAAGUCGCAAGGCGGAGCAAAUCCCUAAAGCCGGUCCCAGUUCGGAUUGGAGGCUGCAACUUGCCUCCAUGAAGUUGAAAUCGCUAGUAACCGCGCGUCAGCUAUAGUGCGGUGAAUACGUUCUCGGUCCUUGUACACACCGCCCGUCAACUGGGAAAAGUUGGGGGUACCCGAAGGCUCUACUAGUUAGGGACGAAGGUAAACUCAGUGAUUAACAGU
rnacentral:rRNA from 1 species